CUGGAGUUUUUCUUCUCAUUGGGGCAACCCCCAAACUGGUCCUAAUGACAACGAUCGAGUGGAGGUGGACGACCAGGAGGACUUUCAUCAGCUGAGAAAUAUGUUGGUCCUGAAGCAGAAAGAGCUUGUAACCGAACAGGCUCUUUAUGACGCCGACCUUAGUUCGGUUCUUCACUUAGGUAUAGUAUAAUACAAUUGAUCGGUUAUUCUUGAUUUUCUUUCUGCUUGCUAACUUGCACUGACCUCC
rnacentral:lncRNA from 1 species